rnacentral:lncRNA from 1 species
GCCAGGAGAAUAGUCCUGGACUGAGCUUCAGAAGAUCUCAGAUCACUGACGUUCUGUCUAGAAGAAUACUCCAAGAUAUAUUUCUAAGUAAUAUUCCUUCUCUUGUUGGGGGAAAUUAGAGAAGAUUUCUACCUGGUGCCAUAUCAACUCAAGGAUGGAGUCAAAUACUGAGAGGCUCUGUCAUCUGUCUUUGGAUCUCCUUCUUACCAGCUUAUGAUCUCCUGAUUGGAACUAACAUGACGCUUGAUAAAAUGAAGUACAUAACAUAACAACUGCAUUGAUUUAGAAAUACGAGGACUUGUUUUGGAUUCCAAGUCUAACUGCAGAUCUGGGGACAGCACACACUUUACACCUUGGAUUCUGGGAUACAUUUGAUUUCAAAUAUUGAUGGUGAAAAUUCUAACAAGGAGCAAACAGCAAAGAACUGAAAUGCUAUACAGACUCCAGUGAGAAAAAACUGAGGUAAUUGGUUUCGGUGUGCUGGUGCUUGAAACUCUAUCCCAGUGCUUCCUUCAACUAAGGCUGCAAAUUGAAAAUGUGAAGAACCUUGCCUGCUUGAACCAGCCUGGGCUUGUGGCAGCAUCAUUCUGUCACUUAAUUCUUCUCACAGAGGUAAUGCCUAUUAAGUGACUUAGCAAGGGCGUGCAUGAUGUAGUCACGAGAUGGAUAUUGGUAACAGUGAUUCCUUGCUGGUACUUUCUAUUAAGUCUAGGUUUCUUGUCACUCAUUGAUCGACCGCACAAAAUCUCACCUGCUAAAUAAUUUGCCCAGGCUUCCACAUCAUUGUACCUGUAUUGAUGAUCCCCAGUGCACAAGAUUACCACGUGAAUGGCAAUGAAAUUUGUGGCGCUGAUACUCAGGGUCUC